rnacentral:rRNA from 1 species
ACGACCACUCAGGGCCGGAAAGCUAUCCAAACUCGGUCAUUUAGAGGAAGUAAAAGUCGUAACAAGGUCUCCGUUGGUGAACCAGCGGAGGGAUCAUUACAGAGUUGCAAAACUCCCUAAACCAUUGUGAACGUUACCUAUACCGUUGCUUCGGCGGGCGGCCCCGGGGUUUACCCCCCGGGCGCCCCUGGGCCCCACCGCGGGCGCCCGCCGGAGGUCACCAAACUCUUGAUAAUUUAUGGCCUCUCUGAGUCUUCUGUACUGAAUAAGUCAAAACUUUCAACAACGGAUCUCUUGGUUCUGGCAUCGAUGAAGAACGCAGCGAAAUGCGAUAAGUAAUGUGAAUUGCAGAAUUCAGUGAAUCAUCGAAUCUUUGAACGCACAUUGCGCCCGCCAGCAUUCUGGCGGGCAUGCCUGUUCGAGCGUCAUUUCAACCAUCAAGCCCCCGGGCUUGUGUUGGGGACCUGCGGCUGCCGCAGGCCCUGAAAAGCAGUGGCGGGCUCGCUGUCGCACCGAGCGUAGUAGCAUACAUCUCGCUCUGGUCGCGCCGCGGGUUCCGGCCGUUAAACCACCUUUUUAACCCAAGGUUGACCUCGGAUCAGGUAGGAAGACCCGCUGAACUUAAGCAUAUCAAUAAGCGGAGGAAAAGAAACCAACAGGGAUUGCCCUAGUAACGGCGAGUGAAGCGGCAACAGCUCAAAUUUGAAAUCUGGCUUCGGCCCGAGUUGUAAUUUGCAGAGGAAGCUUUAGGCGCGGCACCUUCUGAGUCCCCUGGAACGGGGCGCCAUAGAGG